GUCUUCGGACUUAGCGGCGGACGGGUGAGUAACGCGUGGGAACAUACCCUUUGGUACGGAAUAGCCAUUGGAAACGAUGAGUAAUACCGUAUACGCCCUUUGGGGGAAAGAUUUAUCGGAGAAAGAUCGGCCCGCGUUAGAUUAGAUAGUUGGUGGGGUAAUGGCCUACCAAGCCGACGAUCCAUAGCUGGUUUGAGAGGAUGAUCAGCCACACUGGGACUGAGACACGGCCCAGACUCC
rnacentral:rRNA from 1 species